AUGACGGAGCCGCCCCCCGCCGCCGGCGGCGCCGGCCCCCCACCUCGGCGAAGACUGACACGACCGGCUGGCCCUGAAGGGGCACCGAGACCACCCGCCAGAGAAGACACCCGCCCCCACCGGUUCCAGCCCGCGCGCCUCCCGCCCUCCAGCCUCUCCCCACCAGUUGAGCUGGGGCCCCGGCUCUCCCCUCCGGCGGCAGUUGGCAGCGGUUGGCGGCGGAGGCGGCGGCAGCGGCAGCACUUACCGGCGGCGCGGCCAGGCCCCCCUGUCAGAGCGGGGUCGAGGAGGGAGGAGGGAAGGGGCACCGCCUCCCCCGCGCCGCCACGCACCCGCCUGAUUGGCCCAGUUCACUCCCCAAGCGCGACCCCACCAGCCCCAACGAGCGGCACACCGACAGCACAGGCGCCUUAUUUGCAUAUUUGUGCCCAAGCCGCUGAUUGGCCCGGAUGGGCGGGGCUGCUGCCGCGGCUGUGGCCCCUUCUGCGGUGGAGGAGACUUAGGCUGCAAAAGAGAAGAGGCGCCUCAUCCCAGUCUUCUUUUCCUUCCAGGCCCGACCUAGGCUCAAGGGAGGGAGGGGGAAGGGCGAUGAGGGGGCGGGGUUGUCCCAGCUCCAUCAAGGCUCCGCGGCGCCGCAAACCCAAUCCCCAGCACGGUUACUCCCAGCCUCCUCGCAGGCCGCCAGAUGCUGGGAGGUCUCCCAGGCAGAGAAGACCGAGGCUGGGGCGCCCUCUGGUCGGAGCUCGGCAUAGUGCAGCGCCCCGCCCCGCCCCUUUCCGCGACCCCGCCCCUUCCCACGGCUCCGCCGCCACGUCAGGGCCCAGCUCGGCCUCUCUGCUUACAUCCGACACCCGCCCACCCCUCAACCCCCCCCUCGCCCCGGACGCGGCCCAGCCGCCACGUCAUGGCCCAUCCUCGGACCCCCGCCAGCCUACUCGGGGCGGCCACCCAGCCAGACCUAAGCCCAGGGCGGGCACAGCGAGGCAUGCAUCAUCAUCUGGCCACUGCCCGCGUGGUUCAGUCUUGGCUUGA
rnacentral:lncRNA from 1 species